rnacentral:lncRNA from 1 species
UGUUUGGUUUCAAAACGGUGGCGGAAAUGAAGUGGGAUUGAAUUUCCGAACAAAACUACUUGCAAAUGUAAUUUAGAAAAUCUAGCCAAGCACCAUAACAUGUUUGAAUUUCACAACGCAUAAGCAUGCAUCCUUAAUUAACAACUACCCAUUCUCUAACAUCAAAACUGUAACUAAAGCAACACAAAACACAACCACAGAAAAUAAGGGAGCAAGGAAUAAAAUCUUCAUACUGAAAAUCAUUAUCAAACAUAAAUAACAACACUGUCUAGAUGUAGACAAAAUCUGAAUUUCAAAAGUAAUAAUACCAGCAAAGAAAUACUAUCACAUCAAACUCUGAAUCCUCUGCUCUUCCUCUUUCCUCUAGCCUUCUCGAUCUUCCUUGACUUUCCUCUAACAUAAGGUUUGGUGUGGCUUUGUGGGACAACAGGAGCACGACCAAAGUGCUUCACUGCUUCACGAGCAUUCUUUGGGCCUCUAAGAAGGACCUGCAUCCAAGUAUUAUAUAAAAUAAAAUCCCGAUAACCUCAGCAUAACCUUCUUCAUUCUAUCAAACAUUACACUACAAUAGUUACACAAACAGCUACAGAGGGAAAAUGUGAAAUAUAACAGAGGGAAAAUGUGAAAUAUAUUUGACCACAAUAAAGAAUCCAAAAGUAUAACUUUGAUCUUGUUCGGUUAAUUCUAAGCAAAGAUUUAGGAAAAUGUACAGAUAAAAGUAUAACUUUGAUCUUAAACAGAGAAAAUGUGAAAUAUAUUAUUCGACCACAAUAAAGAACACAAAAGUAUAACAUUGAUCCUUGACAGUUAAUUUUAAGCAAAGAUUGAUCAAUUCCUUAAAUGACAGCAAUAGCACUAUAGUGAUUCCUUUGUUAGAGACUAGAGAGAAAACAAAUUGCAUAGUCUAAAAAGUUCAAUAAAAAAUAUGUUCAAUAAUCAAACAGCAGAACUAAUUCAAUCAUUUCACAAAAAAUGCAGCAACUGAUAAAAUUAAUCGCUCAGAAACUGACAAAAAACUAAGAACAUCCUCUUAAUCGAUUUUUUUUUUUAGGGAAACAUCCUCUUAAUCGAUGGUAUCAAAAUGACAAAACGGAUCGACAAAAGUAAUAGUUAGGGAUUAAUUAUGAAUACUUUUCGUAUACACUCACUACCAUCCAUUAAAAAAAAACACUAUCAAGAUCACCAUUUAGGCACUGUCUUUUCGUGCUUCUUGUGUUCCGGUAUAUUUGGAUAGUAAGGAAUUCCAGUGUCCUUAAUCCAGUCACCACCAUGGAAGAACUUGGAUGGUGCAAACUUUUGUGCAGCCUUUGUAUUGAUGUUAUAGAUUCCAGCCCAUUUCACACGCUUUGAUUUGUCUGAACCAGGGCCAUAGUUAUGGUAUUCAACAUAGUAGCAAGUGUCCAUAUUAAUAGGUCCCUCUUCUGUAUGCCAUGGCAAAAAACCAUCGGGAUGAAUCAAAUCAUCGAUGAAUGUAUCCAUGAUGAUAGUCCUUGAGAAGUUCUUCCAUGGACGGGCUAGGUAGGACUUGUGGUCAAACCUGACUGGAUAGAACUCAGGGUCAGCAACAAUAGAGCCUCCUUGGAUGACUAUUGCUGAUGGUGCAGUUAUUUCUUUUCUUCCUUGUGCGGUCACAAUGCAUUGUUGGUUUGACAUAGGCUUUCGGACCACGAAUUUGCAGUUUUGGAAUACCGAUUCUGCAUUACCAAAGACAAAGUCGAUGGUACCUGAAAUAGUACAGUCGCGGUAAAAUUGACGCAUGGCGUGUACAUAAAGUGUGUCUUGAUAUCCAUCCAUUGAGCAAUUGAAGAAGAUAGCCUUAUCUCCUUGAACUCUUAGUGCCACUGCUUGAUGUUUUUGUGGACCAGCUGAAUUCUCAAAACCCAUAUUAAUGGCGGUAAAGUGAUCUCCUUGAAUAGCUGCAAUCAUAUGCAUAAAUUUCUCAUCAAUUUGUAAUUCAUGUAUCAAAAUUGGAACAAAAUAAAAAGACAAUUAAGCUCUACAUAUAUGCAUGAGUGGAAAGAGACAUACCAACAGUGGUGGUAUGGUAGGUGGUAACUCCAUCCAUAUAGUUUUUGUUGCCAGUGAUUAUUGACUUCUUACCACCAUCACCAACAAACACAAUAUGUGUCAUAUUUUUUAAAACUUCAACAUACUCUCGGUAAACACCUGCCUUAAUGUAGAUCACAAAUGGUGUUUCAUCCUCCUCACCGGGAACCUUUUUCAAUGCCUCAUUUAUGCUCUUAAAAUCACCACUACCAUCUAAAGCUACGGUAACAUUAGGCUUUGGUUUUGAUUUGUUUGUCAUUGCAUCAAGGAGUAUGCGAUGUUCAACCCAAGAAGGAAUCUCAGAAUCUUGAAGGAGACGACGUCCAAAAAGUUUGGAUACGUUCAUAUCAGAGACUGUGUCGGCGAAAUUUGAAACAAUAGCAAGGACAUUGCUACUCAUGUGUAUGCUUGAUGUUAAUAAGUGUUUCAUUUUUUUACUAGCAUCACCGGUAGUGUUUUCAAAUCCAUCUAAGCAUGUAUCCAUGUAUGUGACAGCACCAUUGAGCCAAACCUUCAAAUUCAUGAGAAUUUGGUUCAUAUGUUUUAGAUCAAACUCGCUUAUUCCAUCAAGUGACCUUGUGAAUUCACCAAUUGAAAGAUGCAUAAGCUGCUUGCAAGUAUCAAGUGCAUCCUUGGAUCUAGGAUCCUUCUCGAUCUCGCGAAACAUUUCAGUUUCCUUGAGUUUUUCACCAAUUUUAUUGAUGGUAACAUUGAAUGCUAUUUUAAUGAGUUCUUUUGGGUCGGUGACAUUGCCAGCCUCAGCCUCCACUACGAGGGAUUCAACACAUUCCUUCUUGUAAGUGGUGGGAUGACAAAUAGUUUGCACCGCUUUCAAUGUAGAAGCAACAUAAUUCUUUUUGUUGUCUGCUAAAUCAUCCUUAAAAUCGUCCUUAACAUCAUUUUGGUUUUGUUUGAUGCUAAUCGUUACAGCAACAACCAUAGCCACCAAUAACAAGGUAGAUACGCCAAUUAUGGCGAUUCUACUUCCUUUUUGUGCAUCUCCUCCAGCCAUUUAUGAGGAGUUACACAUACAACGAAAUGAAGAAGAGAAAUUUUGCUUGGGAGGAAAGCAAUCUCCGCCAAAGUCCGUUGGAGAAUAAUGCGUCCCUAAAUCUUAGCAUGCAAUGUUGAUUGAUAUUUAUAUGCAGAGAUGAACUCAAAUGUGGGGCAACUACUCAUUUCUAUAAAUGGUAAAACACGGAAACCACACAGUAUAUAUGGCAUAAUUGUUUGUUACUAAAAUAUGUUACUUAACUAAUUAAAAUGUUGUUUUAGUUGAUUCAAACUCGUGUGAUGUUUUAUUUUUCUUCCUUAAACUAAUGGUUAGUGAUUACUCUUAUUCAUAGGAGUCAAACUCGGGAACUAAUUUAAUCAAUAUAUUAGCAUUUUUUUUUUUUUUGCAUGCACAAGAGGAAAUCAAUCUCAAAACAUUGCUUACAAAGGAUUUAGUUUUUUUGGCUUAAUUACUUUUUUGGUCCCUUAACUUAAUUUUUGGUUUCGUUUUGGUUCCUUAACUAUUAAAAGUUUCGUUUCGGUCCCAUAACUUAUUUUUGGGUUUUCUUUUGGUCCCUUAACUAUUAAAAGUUUCAUUUUGGUCCUUUAACUUACUUUUUGUUUUCGUCUAGCCUUCUCGAUCUUCCUUGACUUUCCUCUAACAUAAGGUUUGGUGUGGCUUUGUGGGACACCAGGAGCACGACCAAAGUGCUUCACUGCUUCACGAGCAUUCUUUGGGCCUCUAAGAAGGACCUGCAUCCAAGUAUUAUAUAAAUUAAAAUCCCGAUAACCUCAGCAUAACCUUCUUCAUUCUAUCAAACCUUACACUACAAUAGUUACACA